rnacentral:lncRNA from 1 species
GGCUCCGGACCGUUCGCUUGGGAAAGUCAGAAGGACAAGAUGUGCUGCCCGCAGGAGGAGGGCUGACAGGGGCAGCCGGACCCUUCUGAAGCCUCGGGACGCGGCCCCGCGAACGGCGGGCAGAGGGAAUGCCGCUCCCCCUGCGUCCCCAGCGGUCGGCCGGCCUCCGUCAGACCCACUUUGAGGAAGGGGCACGAGCUCAGCAAGGCGAGACGGCCGGGGGUCAAGAGGUGGAGGAGGACCGGCAGGAAGCGCGCUUGGCGUCACAGCCUGUGAACACGAGCUACACGGCGAUGCUGCCUCCGUGCUUGGCCGACCAGCCUGCAGGACCAGCGCUGCCGGUCCAGUCCCCUCAGAUGCCACUGCGCCGCUUUUCUCUUCUCUGGAAAAUUCAACUUUGGUUCCUACUAGUCUGAAUCUUUACGAUGAUAACUGGCAUUGCCAAUGUCCUAUGUAACAUUUAAGAUGUUUUUCCUUUUAGAAGUCGUAAUCUGUUAUGGUGCUGCAAUGAACGUCUCGGUACAAAGCCUUUUCCUUAGAGGCUCCCUGCUUUAGAGGAGUCUCGGCCCGGGUGGAGGGUGGUGCCCUCGCACAAUGCGGGAAAGCAGCACCACGUCCCCAGGCCUGGGCUUGGAGAGAGGGCUGGUCAGGAGUCUGCGAUGAACAGGGGAAUAAGGAGUUUCUUGAAAUAUACUGGGUUCGAAGGGAGAAUCCAGAGGGGAAGCUGACUUGUUUGGGGAUGGAUGUUGGUCCAGAAUCCAUAGAAAGGAUGCAGGAAAUCCACCUGCUAGCUGGUGGCCUGGGGACCAAUAGGAGCUCUCUGUGUGCGUCUGGGGCCAACAUCACCAUUUUGCCUCUUCUGAUGGCAGGAUAGGAACCUGGAAAAGUGGACCAACUUCGCAGUGGGACCCGUGGGGGUGACAGAAAGUGCGGCUACGCCCCAUGAGUCUCAGUCUACUGUCCCCGCAGGUGCACGUACUUGUGGCUUACAGGAGCCCAGGCAGAGCGCCCUGGGCAGAGCUGUUCUCUCCCUCUCUCAGAAGCCAGUUGAGGCACAGCCAUAUCCCAGAGGCCCCAGAAUGUUAUCAGAAGACAGAUUCACCUGUGAGAAGAGGUGGGCCUGACCCGUGGCUCAGGUGCCAUGUCUGGUGGAAACACAGGAAGACAGGGCCUUGGGGAGCCCUGGCCCCAGCCCUCAGGAGAUCUGUCACGGGGAA